rnacentral:rRNA from 1 species
AGCAGCCGCGGUAAUUCCAGCUCCAAUAGCGUAUAUUAAAGUUGUUGCAGUUAAAAAGCUCGUAGUUGAAUUUCGGGGUCAGUAGUUUGGUCGUGCCAAUGGUAUGUACUGGGCUCACUGAUUCCUCCUUCCUGAUGAACUGUAAUGCCAUUAAUUUGGUGUUGUAGGGAAACUGGACUGUUACUUUGAAAAAAUUAGAGUGUUUAAAGCAAGCUAACGCUUGAAUACAUUAGCAUGGAAUAAUGAAAUAGGACGUUCGAUCCUAUUUCGUUGGUUUCUAGGAUUGACGUAAUGAUUAAUAGGGAUAGUUGGGGGCAUUAGUAUUCAAUUGUCAGAGGUGAAAUUCUUGGAUUUAUUGAAGACUAACUACUGCGAAAGCAUUUGCCAAGGAUGUUUUCAUUAAUCAAGAACGAAAGUUAGGGGAUCGAAGACGAUCAGAUACCGUCGUAGUCUUAACCAUAAACUAUGCCGACUAGGGAUCGGAUGAUGUUAAUUUUUAAUGACUCAUUCGGCGCCUUAA